rnacentral:rRNA from 1 species
UACGUAUGGUGCAAGCGUUAUCCGGAUUUACUGGGCGUAAAGGGAGCGCAGGCGGCGCGCCAAGUCUGAUGUGAAACCCCGGGGCUCGACCCCGGGCAUGCAUUGGAAACUGGCGGGCUGGAGUGCCGGAGAGGUAAGCGGAAUUCCUAGUGUAGCGGUGAAAUGCGUAGAUAUUAGGAGGAACACCAGUGGCGAAGGCGGCCUGCUGGACCGCGACUGACGUUGAGGCUCGAAAGCGUGGGGAGCAAACAGG